GACGAGCACUGGCGGCGUGCUUAACACAUGCCAGUCGAACGGAAAGGCCCUGCUUUUGUGGGGUGCUCGAGUGGCGAACGGGUGAGUAACACGUGAGUAACCUGCCCUUGACUUUGGGAUAACUUCAGGAAACUGGGGCUAAUACCGGAUAGGAGCUCCUGCUGCAUGGUGGGGGUUGGAAAGUUUCGGCGGUUGGGGAUGGACUCGCGGCUUAUCAGCUUGUUGGUGGGGUAGUGGCUUACCAAGGCUUUGACGGGUAGCCGGCCUGAGAGGGUGACCGGCCACAUUGGGACUGAGAUACGGCCCAGACUCCUACGGGAGGCAGCAGUGGGGAAUAUUGCACAAUGGGCGGAAGCCUGAUGCAGCAACGCCGCGUGCGGGAUGACGGCCUUCGGGUUGUAAACCGCUUUCGCCUGUGACGAAGCGUGAGUGACGGUAAUGGGUAAAGAAGCACCGGCUAACUACGUG
rnacentral:rRNA from 1 species